rnacentral:rRNA from 1 species
UUGGAGGGCAAGUCUGGUGCCAGCAGCCGCGGUAAUUCCAGCUCCAAUAGCGUAUAUUAAAGUUGUUGCAGUUAAAAAGCUCGUAGUUGAAUUUCGGGAUUAGUACGCUGGUCGUGCCUUCGGUACGUACUGGUGUUACUGAUUUCUACCUUCUGACGAACCAUCAUGUCAUUAAUUUGGUGUGGUGGGGAAUCAGGACUGUUACUUUGAAAAAAUUAGAGUGUUUAAAGCAGGCUCGCGCUUGAAUACAUUAGCAUGGAAUAAUGAAAUAGGACGUUGAUCCUAUUUUGUUGGUUUCUAGGAUUGACGUAAUGAUUAAUAGGGAUAGUUGGGGGCAUUAGUAUUCAAUUGUCAGAGGUGAAAUUCUUGGAUUUAUUGAAGACUAACUACUGCGAAAGCAUUUGCCAAGGAUGUUUUCAUUAAUCAAGAACGAAAGUUAGGGGAUCGAAGACGAUCAGAUACCGUCGUAGUCCUAACCAUAAACUAUGCCGACUAGGGAUCGGAUGAUGUUAUUUUUAAUGACUCAUUCGGCGCCUUACGGGAAAC